GACGAACGCUGGCGGCGUGCUUAACACAUGCAAGUCGAACGGAAAGGCCUCUUUCGGGGGGUACUCGAGUGGCGAACGGGUGAGUAACACGUGAGUAACCUGCCCUUGACUUUGGGAUAACUUCAGGAAACUGGGGCUAAUACCGGAUAGGAGCUCCUGCUGCAUGGUGGGGGUUGGAAAGUUUCGGCGGUUGGGGAUGGACUCGCGGCUUAUCAGCUUGUUGGUGGGGUAGUGGCUUACCAAGGCUUUGACGGGUAGCCGGCCUGAGAGGGUGACCGGCCACAUUGGGACUGAGAUACGGCCCAGACUCCUACGGGAGGCAGCAGUGGGGAAUAUUGCACAAUGGUUGGAAGCCUGAUGCAGCAACGCCGUGUGCGGGAUGACGGCCUUCGGGUUGUAAACCGCUUUCGCUCAUGACGAAGCUUUGUGUGACGGUAGUGGGUAAAGAAGCACCGGCUAACUACGUG
rnacentral:rRNA from 1 species